CACGUAGGGUGCGAGCGUUGUCCGGAAUUACUGGGCGUAAAGCGCACGUAGGCGGAUCGAUCAGUCAGGGGUGAAAUCCCAGGGCUCAACCCUGGAACUGCCUUUGAUACUGUCGAUCUGGAGUAUGGAAGAGGUGAGUGGAAUUCCGAGUGUAGAGGUGAAAUUCGUAGAUAUUCGGAGGAACACCAGUGGCGAAGGCGGCUCACUGGUCCAUUACUGACGCUGAGGUGCGAAAGCGUGGGGAGCAAACAGG
rnacentral:rRNA from 1 species